UGACGCACGCCUCCGCCACAUUCUCCUCUUCCUCUCUUCUCCGGCAAAACCACAUUCACAACCAAAACCUUCGCUCCCUCUCCCUAGAGGUCGAGACGUCGGAAUCCUUCCUCUCCUUGGUCGAUCCCGUCAUUGUGACAAGGCGCUCUUGUUGGACGUCGCCCCGUCAUUGUCCUUGAACUCGAGCUCCUCCUAGGGUCCAAUCCCUCGACCGAUCUCACUCGCCAAACCCUCGUUGCCAUAGAGAACGAAUGGAUUCAACCUCUUCCUCUUCCAAAUGCUUGAAUGCCCUAAGCGACAGAACCACAAUGAUGGUGGCUCUGCUGCCCAAUUCUUCACCGUUUAUGGCCUUGAAGAACUCGAAGAGUUGGCAACUAAAUAUGAUAUUUUCUUGCAUCUGACCUUUUCCUUGGUGGAUUGUUUUACCACUUGCUCAUAAGAUGAGGUACCGAAUUCCACCUUUUGAUUUUACUAUUAAAGGAGUCACAUCAAUUUCAACAGAUGUGCACAAGUAUGGAUUUGGGCCCUAAGGGAACAAGUGUUGUUUUAUGCAGAAAUCAUGAAAUAGGAAAGGUAGGCAUCUCUUUUUCCUGCUUCCUGUAUUCUUAGCUUUGAUUUCAACUCUCAGGAAUACUAUCUAAGAGUUCUUGUGGAGAAGGUGGAUUGAUGGAUCUUGUUGGAAAGUUCUUAGGAAUACUAUCAAAGUGCAUCACAUUCCUCUUGGUGGAUCUUGUUGGAAUGUUUGGAUUGAUAGAGUUUUUGCGGAGAAGGUGGACCUAAUUCGACCAAAUAAUGAUUUUUUUUUCUCAAGGAUGCAAUUGGAACUGCUUGGCUAUCUAAAUUUAUAGUUUUGUAUGAUUGAUAUAAAUUUUAUUCAUUUUAAAGUCAUAUACUUUUUUGUAUUAAAGAAAUCAUGUUAUUAAGUGAAUUUCAUAUUUUCUCUUA